GACGAACGCUGGCGGCGUGCUUAACACAUGCAAGUCGAACGGAAAGGCCCUGCUUGCAGGGUACUCGAGUGGCGAACGGGUGAGUAACACGUGGGUGAUCUGCCCUGCACUUCGGGUUAAGCCUGGGAAACUGGGUCUAAUACCGGAUAGGAGCCAUUUUGAGUGUGAUGGUUGGAAAGUUUUUUCGGUGUAGGAUGAGCUCGCGGCCUAUCAGCUUGUUGGUGGGGUAAUGGGCUACCAAGGCGGCGGCGGGUAGCCGGCCUGAGAGGGUGGACGGCCACAUUGGGACUGAGGUACGGCCCAGACUCCUACGGGAGGCAGCAGUGGGGAAUAUUGCACAAUGGGCGCAAGCCGGAUGCAGCGACGCCGCGUGGGGGAUGACGGCCUUCGGGUUGUAAACUCCUUUCGCUAGGGACGAAGCUUUUUGUGACGGUACCUAGAUAAGAAGCACCGGCUAACUACGUG
rnacentral:rRNA from 1 species